AAGUCGUAACAAGGUUUCCGUAGGUGGUUCGCCUGCGAAAUCAGUCUGCUUAGGCAGGCAACAUCUCUACUGUGCUAGAAAUUACAAUAGUAUUACUAGCAGCCUGCUUAGCAGGUUCACAGAUCAAAUAGAGGUGGCCCUCUGGGGUUAAGAUAUGAUCGAUUUAAUGCUGGAACAGCAUUUUUCUAGUGGAACCUGCGGAAGGAUCAUUAAAGAGUUUAUAGACUUCGGUCUACUACUCCACCCUUUGUUUACAAUACCAUUGUUGCUUUGGCAGGCCCGUCGAAAGACAACCGGCUUCGGCUGGUCAGUGCCUGCCAGAGGACCUAAAACUCUUGAUUUAUUAUUGUCUGAGUACUAUAUAAUAGUUAAAACUUUCAACAACGGAUCUCUUGGUUCUG
rnacentral:misc_RNA from 1 species